GAUGAACGCUGGCGGCGUGCCUAAUACAUGCAAGUCGAGCGAACGGACGAGAAGCUUGCUUCUCUGAUGUUAGCGGCGGACGGGUGAGUAACACGUGGAUAACCUACCUAUAAGACUGGGAUAACUUCGGGAAACCGGAGCUAAUACCGGAUAAUAUUUUGAACCGCAUGGUUCAAAAGUGAAAGACGGUCUUGCUGUCACUUAUAGAUGGAUCUGCGCUGCAUUAGCUAGUUGGUAAGGUAACGGCUUACCAAGGCAACGAUGCAUAGCCGACCUGAGAGGGUGAUCGGCCACACUGGAACUGAGACACGGUCCAGACUCCUACGGGAGGCAGCAGAAGGGAAUCUUCCGCAAUGGGCGAAAGCCUGACGGAGCAACGCCGCGUGAGUGAUGAAGGUCUUCGGAUCGUAAAACUCUGUUAUUAGGGAAGAACAUAUGUGUAAGUAACUGUGCACAUCUUGACGGUACCUAAUCAGAAAGCCACGGCUAACUACGUG
rnacentral:rRNA from 1 species